rfam:Populus trichocarpa isolate Nisqually-1 chromosome 11, whole genome shotgun sequence.
UAAUUUGUCUUGGGCAGAUCAUCAUUUAGUUGUGGUAGACUCACACCUGACUACUCAGAGUCACCCGUUAUCGCAUGCCCGACUAUAGCUCCAAGAUGGCAAGAUUAGCUAGUCAAUCAACACGUAUUUUCCUUGGGAAAAGUUU